rnacentral:rRNA from 1 species
UCGCGGUGAAUACGUUCCCGGGCCUUGUACACACCGCCCGUCAAGCCAUGGAAGCCGGAAGUACCCGGAAGCCGCCCUUGGGCGUCUAAGGUAAAGCCGGUGACUGGGGCU